UCCCUGGUGGCUCAGACGGUAAAGCGUCUGUAUGCAAUGCAGGAGACCUGGGUUCUAUCCCUAGGUUGGGAA
rfam:TPA: Bos taurus chromosome 21, whole genome shotgun sequence.